CCAAACCCUGGAGCAGAUCCUCAGCUGGUGAAAACUGUCAAAGCUCCAUUGAUUGAUCCUCAGCUGGCCUGAAUUAGCAGAGCUCCACUGACUUCAAUGGAACACACUAGCUGAGCAUCUGCCCCAUCCUUUGAGAGGGAGACAGUUUCCCAAAAUUCUCACUCACACAAUCAAAGUGCUUGUUUCCCAUGGUGUAACUAUCAGCUUAGGACGGUGUUCCCCAGUAUGCCUAGGGAUUCAAGCUCAAUCAGAUGCUAGCUAUAGCUGCUGCAGGCCAGUUAGUGUAAGGUACUGCCUCCUCUUCAGAAGAAUGAAAAAUUGUAUUCACUGAAUCCCCACAAGCCAAUAAAACUCCCAAACAGGAGGUGGCCGUUAAACCGUGGAGACUUCUUAUAACAAAAAAUAGACACAUACGAAGGAGUAAUCUGGAAAAGUAGAUGGGACAACGCUCCAGGAAUCAGCUGAUGGCCUCUCCUGGUGGUAAAUUGGAAUUGGCAGGAGCCGAUGGAAUGUAUUGCUCUCUGGAUAUGAAGAUACAGGUGGCAGAAGAUCAGGAUUCUUUUCUAACAGGUUCAUAACCUGUGUUGUAUUUGCCCCUGUUCUCGGACAGUAAUCUUCCCACUGCCAUUCGGGGCCUCAAAACCUCACUGCUGGGCUAUUGUAAAUCCCUCUUGUUCAGACUGCCAAAGGAUUCUAUCCCUUGCAGCUAGUGCUGAAUGUGGCAGCACACUUCCUCACUGGAGUAGAAGUUAAGACUGUCUCCCUAAACUGGUGUCUGAUUACAUGAACAAGAAAUGUUACCCAGAUGCAUUAAUAACCCACAUUUUGCCUUUUGAUAAAAUCAAUGAAGGAUUUGAAUUGCUGCAGACAUGGAAAAGAAACGAGCAGUUUGGAAAUUGAUUUGGAUGAACCAGCUCUGAUAGUAUAGGAUCUCUGUGGGCUCUGCCAUUUUUGUGAUUUCUCUGGAGGAAAAUUCUGAGAAAGAGGUGUUUGAAUUUCCAUAGACCCUGGGGCAGGUGAGUCAUAUGUGAAUGGAUGGAUCCACUAGUCCUGGUAUAUGCAUCACAAUUUGAGCAGCCACUUUAUCAUGCCAGGAAAGCCUCAACCUGUACACAGAUGUAGCAAACACAUUGCUGGCUUGUUACAAAACGUUCACUGAAAAUCAGGACUAUAUGUGGUGGCUCUCCAGUAUCUUUGAAGAAGGUCAUGGACAAAGCAAUGCUAUUGCCAGGUCCUGCCAUAGCUAUUAAUGCUACUCUAA